GAUGAUGAUGACUCAAAAGAAUAAUUAGUUAAAGAAUGAAAUGGUCAAACUCCUCCACCAAGUCCUACUCCAAUAAGUCCUAUAUCGACAACAUUGAUGUCAGGUCGCAGGGACAUAAUAGGUCCCAAACACAGAAUAAAAUGCUAAGAUAAUUUGUCUUCUCUUCGGGUGAGAAGUCUACCACAAUUUGCAUAGAAUGAUUACUUGUCUUCAAUUGAUAAACUUUGGCUCUGAUUAAAUAAGCAAAGCCAAGCAACGUAUAAAUAAACAAGCCGUGUACAAAUAAACUGAAAUAAAGGGAAACUACUAACUAGACUGCAACCCACGUAAAACAGAGCAUAUAAAUAAACUACAACCCACAAAUAACAGAACAUGCAGAAACAUAACAUAACUAACGAAAAUGAAAUGGACGUAAAACUCCCAACUGCCAUGACCCAAUCUUGCUCUUCACGUCCCAGCUUAUCCCAAGUAUUUGGGAUUUUUCCCUCUCUGAAUGUCAUGGCCUAACAAUACCUCCCCAUCAAGUGGAUCCUUGUCCUCAAGGUCCAAAUUUGAAAACAUCUCCCUUAACUUCUUUGUUGGCUCCCAUGUUACCUCCUCGGCUGGAAGGUUCUUCCAUUGCAUUAAGCUUUUUUCGACCAGUUGGGUGCCUUGUUUGAUCCAAUGGUAGUCUAAAAUAGUUUGUGGCUUCAAUACAAUUACCCCUUCAUCGGUGAAUGGUGGUAACUCGGCCUAUGGCAUUUCAGCG
rnacentral:lncRNA from 1 species